rnacentral:snRNA from 1 species
GUGCUUGCUUUGACAGCACACAUACUAAAAUUGAAAUAAUAGAUUAGCAUGGCCCCUGUGCAAGAACGACACAUAAAUUUGUGAAGCAUUCCAUAUUUCC